rnacentral:rRNA from 1 species
AUUGAACGCUGGCGGCAGGCCUAACACAUGCAAGUCGAGCGAGCGUCGGACGGGUGAUUAAUGUCUCGGGACUGCCCGAUAGCGGGGGCUAACUCCUCGCACCGGUGGCUAAUACCGCAUACUGUCGCAUAACCCCUAUGUGAUUAGCUAGUAGGUAAGGUAAUGGCUUACCUAGGCGACGAUCCCUAGCUGGUCUGAGAGGAUGAUCAGCAACACUGGGACGGAGACACGGCCCAGACCCCUACGGAGGCAGCAGUGGGGAAUAUUGCACAAUGGGCGCAAGCCUGAUGCAGCCAUGCCGCGUGUAUGAAGAAGGCCCUAGGGUUGUAAAGUACUUUCAGGCGGGAGGCGUUACCGACAGAAGAAGCACCGGCUAACUCCGUGCCAGCAGCCGCGGUAAUAC